rnacentral:rRNA from 1 species
UACGUAGGGUGCGCGCGUUGUCCGGAAUUACUGGGCGUAAAGAGCUCGUAGGUGGUUUGUCGCGUUGUUCGUGAAAACUCACAGCUUAACUGUGGGCGUGCGGGCGAUACGGGCAGACUGGAGUACUGCAGGGGAGACUGGAAUUCCUGGUGUAGCGGUGGAAUGCGCAGAUAUCAGGAGGAACACCGGUGGCGAAGGCGGCUCUCUGGGACGGUACUGACGCUGAGACGCGAAAGCGUGGGGAGCAAACAGG